UUACGGCCACACCACGCUGGAACACCAGUUCUCGUCCAAUCACCGAAGUUAAGCAACGUCUAGCCUGGUCAGUAUCUAGAUGGGUGACCGCUUGGGAAUACCAGGUGCUGUAAG